rnacentral:misc_RNA from 1 species
GAAUUCAAAGAAAAAUGAAAUCAACGCAAGCAAUUCGUCAUAUAAUUCAAUUUCCAAAUCCAGAAAAGGAAAAAAACUGCAAAAGCGAGGAAACCCUUGCUGUAAAAAAAAAAAAAACAAAAGGAAACCCUUUUGUGAAUUAAAUUAAUAAGAGGAGAAACUAAAGAAAAGAAAUCAUGCAAUGAAAAUUGAGUAAAUGGGCAUGAGCAAGAAGAGAAGAGAAGAAGAGAAUUGCCACCUCAAGAGCGGACAAAGU